rnacentral:lncRNA from 1 species
GAAGCCAUAGAGACUGUUGGACAAUGUUGUCCCCUUCUGAAAUCCUUCAAAUUGAAUAGCCGGGUAUAUAGAUGUCCACACAUAGAAUGUGAUGACGAGGCACAAGCUAUAGCGAAAAACAUGCAUGGAUUACACCACCUCCAACUCUUCGGGAAUAAGAUGACAAAUGAAGGUCUGAAGGCGAUUCUCGACAGUUGUCCUCAUCUUGAGUAUCUCGACUUGCGCCAGUGCUUCAAUGUUUAUAUGGGGGGUGAUUUGGGGAGAAGAUGCACCGAACAGAUCAAAGAUUUAAGGAAUCCAUAUGACCCCACAGAUGACUAUGAAUUUGAUGCUGCAAUUCUCGAUGAUGAGUCCUUUGAUGAUGAUUACCCAUCUGGGUUUUCUGACAUUGAUUUGUCUGAUUAUGAUAACUACUAUGACUUCUCUGAUUAUGAUGAUGAAUUCUCUGAUUAUGACGAUUUCUCUGUAUAUGGGUUUGAGGAGGAUCAGUGAUUUGCUGGUUGACACGCAUGCAUGGUGAGGAACCCUUUUCUUGCUUUAAGUCGCAGAAUAAUUUUACUACAUGGUUCUACGUAGCUCUUCGUGGCAAUCUGUUGUGAUGUACUAUUUCUGAUUAUUUUGGUCUGGAUACGCAGGUGAAGAUUCUUUAUGGUUGCUGAGACUCCAUAUCAUGCUUCGAGGCAGAGAUGGUUAAGCGACCAUCAUGCACGCCUUCUGGUGUAGCUUUUGACCUGAACUUCGCAAGUGGGAGUCUUUCCUAUUUUGUUGAUGAAGAGAAGCACUCAUAGAUCGGCGCUCCCCUUGAAGUGCAUUCUUUUGUUCCUUUCGUUCUAGUCUCUGCAUCUUUAUCUCCAGAACAUGUUUUAUAGCUAUGAGCUUCUGCAUAUAUAGUUCUAGUGCCUAGUCUUAUUUUGUUAUCUGUGACUUUGGUGUGCUAACUCCAGCUGGCCAUGAUAAUGAACUUCAUAGCUAAUAAACCAAUAUCAGGCUUCACUGUGCGGUUUUGCAUAAAAUUCACAAUGCUGUUACCUAAAAUGUUAUUCAGAAAAUCGCUUUAAUCGUUCCCAUCUAUGAGGAUCUUGUAGUGUCAAAUGUAGCAGCAAGUUGCUUUGCUUGUCAAGCACUUCCAUUUUCAACUAGUAGAUCGCAUUUCCAUGAUGGUGCAAAAGAAUGAAUAUUUGACAUCUUUUAAUGUCAAGGAAAUAACGUACUGCCUAUCAUAUAUUUUAUGUUAAGGGAGUCGUGUACAUUUCACGCUAGAAGAAUAACCCUAGUAUGGGCAAAGCAGGAGGUUUUGGCUGUGUUUUUGGCAAUCGGCAGUCAAAUUUACAAGUGGUUAGCCAAUGCACUAUCACUUUGUCGAUUAUCAAAGAGGCCGCAAGCUCAUACAGGUUGCUUUCUCUUUAUGUUUGGAUCUUCACCUGAAAGUUGCAAAACAUCAACGUGGGAAAUCCGGUACAAGGUCCUUUCGAUGUGGUUUCAAAGAAAUUCACGUGGAAUAUUGAAAACUUUAAAGAUCCUAGACGAAGAGAAUGGGACUGAUCCGAAGCUCUCAUGACCUUAUAGUUUUCAAGAAGAAAUGCCAUACGAUUAUUCCCACGCGUACCACGCCAUUAAAGACACCAUCUACCAGGCGUUAGAUUUGUACAAGCGGGAUUAGCCAAACCAAUGUAUUUUUCCCAAAACCCAUGGGCUUUGGGAGAAUCUUAUCUUGAAGUCACGUGACAACCAGAUGUUAGCUCUAACGAAGAUCCUGAUAUUGGCCAUAUCAAUCAGUAAAAGGAUAAAAAAAAAUGUGUUGGGAUGGCAUGCAUGUCUCAAAUCUCCAUUAAAUUUGUAAAAAUUGUUCCAAGACAAUUGUAAAGCAAUGAAAUUAGGGAAUAUUUUAAAUUUACAUGCAAUAACAAUGUUCAUAGUGUAUGUAUGAUUAAUACUUUGAUAUAUACUCAUUAUUCAUGUCCCAUCGAAUAUAAUUGUGGCAUCCCAGAAAUCCAAGACAACCUCUAGAUGUAUUAAAGCCUAUGAUUAGGUAAUGAAAUUACCUUUGGUUUAUGCUUUAGCCAUUGGUUUUCUUUUAAGACCAAGUGUUAUGUAUCUUGUGUUCAUGAGUUAUUAAAAUUAGUAUUAUAGGAUGAGUUGAUAAGAAAGAUUGUUCUUGACUAUGCACCUCAUAGAUUUGAUCCCUAUAGUUUAAAUGUUACAAGAUUUAUGGCCAUAUGAAAUUGAGAAUUUGAAAUCUAUAAAAGAGAGAAUUAAAAAUGGAUUAUUAAAAGUGAAAUUGGGAUUUAUUAGGAUUUAACUUUAGGCCCAAGGGUAUUGGACCUAAAGUGGGCCAAAUUGGAUUGGCCCAUGAAGCCCAUGAAGAAGGCUGCCGUCGACCACAAGGGGGAGAGGCUGGCCCAAUCUCCAAGCCCAUCAUGCAUGGGAUUUGCCAAGUGGCAAAAAGGGGGCUUCACCUAUUGGCCAUUUUGGGUGGCUCCUAAUGAUGGCUAACGAUUGUAUUGAGGGGGGAAUAAAAGGAAGGAGUGACCGGUUUAGGGGGGGCUUUCGACCAUAAGGGAGAGAGAGAGAGAGGGCUGCCGAGAGAGUGAGGAACUGAGAGAGAGGAGGAAGAAGCCGUGUGUCCGUCUGUUUGCUCGUCCGUCGCUUGCCGCCCGUGCGUCCACCGUUUGCCGCCGUCGUGCUCGUUGUAGCUCGGUACAAAGGCAAGUUGGGAUCCAUAUUCUGCUCUUGCAUGUUGUAUCUUGCAUAUGUGUUUGAAUGGUGAUGAAUCUCGGACGUUUAGGGUGUGAGAAACUGAAGCUUUGAGUGUGUUGUUUUUGAAAUAGCAUUCUGUUUUCAAGUAUACCGCCUGACCCAGAAUGUUGUAGAGGCUUGCAUGCGGGGUUUGAGUCGGAUUUUGGUUUGGACUUCUUCACGAAAGUUGUAGGAAACAUCCUGAAGACUAGCAUACUCAAAUUUGAGGUAAAACGAACAAGUGUAGCCUAGUGAAACGAUUUUUGCUUUGAAGAUGAUAGAUCUGGAAGUAUUGUACUGGACACUAGCGACUUCGUGAACUAUAAAGUGACUAUCCUUUGAGAAUCUCACCUAGAUCCCUUAAUGAAAGUUGUAUUGGACCCCUUGAGGCAAAACAUAUAAAAAAAUUCAGAGGAAAUGAAGGAAGAUAAGUAGGUGAAACCUUGAUUUUUCGGAGACAGCUAAAUUGGACUGUUCGGUACUAGGAACAGGGGCUUCGACCGUCCAUAGUUAAUUAUCUAGGACGAAUCUGGCCUUGAUUUCUUCAUAAAAAAUCUACCUUAGGGUUUCUACUAUAACCUGGUAAAAUCUCAUAAUUUUUUAAGGUCAUUCGGGUAUUUAAAUUGAAAUAUUUCAAGAACCGCGCAAUCUGAUGUGUUCGAAUUUUGCAAGCUGUAAUGUGUGAGCUAUAUCUUUUUGUGUGAAGUUCUUUUGGGCAUGUGUUCUUCAUGGAGUUCCUACCUUUGUGUCUUGACUAUGGCCCCGUUUGGUUCAACUUUGGAGAAAUGGCUUUGCAUUUCCCCAAGUACCUUUGAGAGAAUGAGCAUUUUGGGAAUGGAGUUGUGUUUGGAAACCAAAUUUUUGUGCAUGUUUUGCAAAGCUAUUUCAAAGUAAAAUGAAAAAUGAAAAAAUGAAAAGAAAAGGGAGGAGGAGAUCGCGUGGUGAGGGGAAAAUUGUGGGGGAGCAGCUGGUGGUGGUGAGGAGGUGGCUGGCGGCGGCAGCGGCAAUGGCGGGGGGGAGGGAGGCGUCGACCUCAGGUGUUGCGCAACCCAGCCGCUUGAGGCCACGCAACCUCAGGCGGCGACCCUGGCCUCAGGCGACAACCCAGGCGACACCGCCUGAGGUCGCGCGGCCUCAGGCAACGCCGCCUGGGUCGCGCCUGAGGUCGAGCGACCCAGGGUGUUGCUUGAGAUCGCGAGGCCUCAAGCGCGCGGCCAGGCGGUGUCACCUGGGUCGCUUGACUCAAGCGACGCUUGAGGCCACCUCGCCUAAGGUCACGCGGCCUUAGGCGAGGCUUUUCGGCGGCCAGAUCUGACUGCUCGCGACUGAGCGCCACCCACCGCGAAGCUUGGCCGAGCAGCAAGUCCACGGAAGUCCAUGGAAGUCCAAGGAAGAAGAUGAACAGUGUUUUGGAGGGUAGAAUGGAAAAAAAAAAAAAACAAUUAUCGGUAAGGGCAAUAUUGGAAAGAAAAAAAUUCAUUAAACCCUAAACUAGCAUUCCGAAUGCUGGCAUUUAGGAAAUGUAAGCUCAAAAGUGUAAACCAAACACCAAAUUGAAAGCCCCUUGGGAAAGCUGAACCAAACACCCCCUACCACAUGUUCAGAUUUUAUAAUUUUUGAAGGUCAUAAAGAUAUUUAAUUUAUAUGUUUUCUGAAAUUGUGCAAGUUGGAAUUUGGUAAAUUUCAAAAAGUCAUGAUGUAUGGAUUAUUCUAAGUUGUAUGGACCCCAUGGAUUGUGUUGUCAUAAGUGAUUGGAUCUUACUGCAUAUAUGAUGAUGAUUGGAAAUACAUAUAAGAAUCAAAUGUUGAAAAUGAUCUUGUUGCCAUCAUAUUAUAUGCCAUGUUGAAAGUGAGCUAUAAUUGUGAAUGUGAACUAUGAUAAAUGAGAAGGCCGUCAGAGGUGUGAGCCAACGAUGUCCCGGGAGUGUCGGGAUGCCCGGCCAGGGAGUGUAAAUGCCGGAUGCCCAGUGGCCUAGUGGCGUAAUUCUGGAGGGUCCUCGGGAGUUUUGAGAUGCCCGAGAUGUGGGGGUGCUGGAAGCCCGGAGGUGUGAGCCGAGGGAUACCUCAUGAUGCUAGUUGGGGUACGAGAUGCCCGGAGUGUGUGUGCCGGAUGCCCGGAGGUGUGUGCCGGAGGUUCCUGGCGAUGUCAGGAUUGGGUGCGAGCGAUAAAUGUGGGAUGCAAAUACUGGUCUUGGGAAAGAGAAAUGUGGCGGCCCAAAAUGAAAGAAUAAAAUUGGGAAAUUGAAAUUGAAUUAUGCAUGGUAUGGUAACAUGUAUGCAUGAAUGCAUGAAUGUAUGUGAUGGUACAUGUGUGACAUGAUGAUGGUGAGUGCAUGGAUGUAUGUGCACCUAUGGCAUGAUGGUAUAUGUGACAUGAUGAUGGUGAGUGCAUGGAUGUAUGUACACCUAUGGCAUGAUGGUAUAUGUAUGACAUGAUGAUGGUGAGUGCAUGGAUGUAUGUGCAUCUAUGGCAUGAUGGUAAAUGUAUGACAUGAGGGUGAAAGUUAUAUGAGGAUGUAUGUACAUGUGGUAUGAUGACAUAUGCAUGGCUUCAAGGUAAAUUAUGCAUGGAUGCAUGAAUGACAUGUGUUAUGCUAUGAUUGUUAUGAUUGUAUUGUGUGAUGCAUUGAGUAGUUUAUUGGGUCUUUUACCUGCUGAGUGGCUGUACUCACCCCUUCGGGGACCAACAUUUCAAAUUAGAAAUAUACCGCUCCCUACUGUCACGCGGGGCGUCUUUUAUGGCCUUCCUUCGGACGUGGAGGUCGAGUGUGUGGAGAUCGACUGUCUCACCAUCCCUGGUCUGACGUUCAUUCGGGUUCGUGCAUUAGUGAUGUAUGACGUGGGCCUGGCUGAUGGCCAGAUCAUUCAGGAGUUCAUAUAUGUUCACGUUCGUCGAGACGGAGUGAUGCGGGGGAUGUUGCUGCCGCCACCGCCUGACGCACCGGGAUGGGUGUGACGGCCCAUGAUUGAGGAGUAGGAGCUACUACUUUUUCGACAAUAGCCGACACUAGUAGAUGGAGGAUUUUGCAUGAUCGACAUAGAGGGUCGAGUUGUCUCUUUUUGGGGUUAUGGCCGAGUGUAGUUAAAAGUCUUGGCCUUUCUUUUGUUGUACCGACCUGAUAAAAAUCCAUCAUGAAAAUAUGUAAAUAAAAGUGUCUUGACUUUAUCUUUUUAUAGUGUUUAGUGGUGUGCAUUGUAUCAUGAUUGUUGGGGGGGAGAAUUGGUAGGACUUGAUUAUGCUUCCGCAAAUAAGAUGCGUUGGGACCGUUGUAAAAAAAAAAAUGCCUAGGAACUAAAGUUCUUCUUUGGUAUCUGUGGUGACCUUAGGCGCUUCGGGGUGCCACAAUAAUUAACGUCACAUGUGCUAAAGAUUUUUUAUCCCAAUUUCGUUGAAAAAUAUCUCUAGGGUGCUUUCUCUUUUGUUGAAAUUUGGGGCACAUGUUAAACAAUAAAAAGUUAGCCAUCAAUGCACAACUUCUCUUAAGUAACGAAUCGUGAAUGCUUUGAAAAUCGAAACAUUCACUAUAAAAUAUAAUUGACACUAAUAAGAUAGGUCAUCUAUGAUAUACCUGUAUCUCCAUGCAUGUAUGCAUAUGCAAUGAAUACUCCGGAGAAUAUCAUAUGCUUCAUUAAGUGCACUUAAUAAAUGCUCCAAAGGUACUUGCUAAGGAAAUCCUUUACAAAAGCAUUCAUGCAUUCCCCAUGAAUUUACAAACAAAAUAAACACACUUUUCGAUGUGUGAUCGUGUGAAUGUUAAUCCCUAUAUAUUAGUCAUGUAUAUUCAACAAAAUAAAAUAAAAUAAAAUUACAAAUAUGAUUACUGAGAUCAAAGCAGAAAAUUAUGUAAAUUUUCUUAAUUAAUUAUGUCGAGACACUUCUUAAUAAAAGCUGAUCACAUCGUCCUCGUGCUUUUCUUCUCUCUCUCUCUUUUGUUCUUUUCAAUUAAUGUGUUCAUCACAUUGAGAAAGGGGAUUAUGCAUGCCGCUCUGCCCGAUGAUAAUUGCACGAGUGUGGAUUUACAGAGAGGGGGGGACCAAACUCUUUAAUUAUUAUUGCACAACAAUUAUUAAUUAUUACUGCUGCAAUUAUUUGUGGGGGAGUUAAGAAACAAUAAAAAAAUAAAAAUUACGCAACAUGUCUUGGUGGACACGGGCAUUUGCGCGCGUGUCUCGCCGUAUCUGUCAGACAGAGCCGGUUGCUUCGACCAACUACCUCCCGUUGACUUUGACUUGAGCAGCUGCUGGCCAGUGAGAUUUCGCCACGGCAGCCGUCUGUUGACCUGCGGUGGCAGGAGAUCCGGCCCGCGCGUGCUAGGUCGCAGCCUCGCCACAGACAACAGCUUUUACCUGCAAACAUACGCUGCAAAUAUAAACUGUGAAUUAAAAAGCUUUGCGUAUGACAGACGUCCGAGGACCACAAAGAUGGUUUUUAAAUGGGACCAUACGGUAUGAUCGGAGGCGGAGGAACCGUGCGCCGGACGAAGAAAGCUCGGCUGAUUUACAGAGCCGGGCACGGGGAGCCUGGCUGCGAACCCACCCCCGUCGCAACCCAGAGGCACGAGCAGUUGAGGUAUGGAGAACUCAGGCAAAAAGUAGAUCUGCAAACCCAGAGAUUGAUUUGCCCCAGACAUGGAUUCCACCGAAAGCAGGAGUGUUGAAGAUAAAUAUAGAUGGAACAUAUGUGCAUGGUUCGUUGAAGAACUCCAUUGCUUGCAUUAGCCGUGAUUCGGAAGGGAGGUUGUUGGGAGGAGUUGCAAAGGAAAUAAGGGCCUCUUCCCCCUUAAUGGCAGAAACCUUAGCUCUCUGGGAAGCCCUCCAGUUUCUCUUCCCUAUACGACACGAAGUAAUACUUUUGGAGUCAGAUAGUUUGCAACCGGUCAAAGCCAUGAACAGUUCACAACAGUUAAGUUGGGAAGUACAGCCUAUCAUCAGCAAGUGCAAGGAAAUAUUGAAGGCCUUUUCAAAAGUCCAAAUAGCCCAUUGUUCAAGACAGGCCAAUUUUGUUGCAGAUUGGGUAGCUAAAGCCCACUGGAACAAUUACUUACCUAUGAAUUGGGUCUCAUCCCCUCUACAAACUUUGUUGGACCUCUUAUGUAAUGAAGCCCAUUUAUCGGGCCUCUUAUCCUUGCGUACUUAAUGAAAUAUUUCCGUUUUCGACCAAAAAUAAAAAAUAAAAAUGGGACCAUACGGUAGUAACUUUUUCUUUUUCUUUUUCUUUUUCUUUUAUUUUUCUAUUUUUUUUAUUAAAGAGAAAAGUCAUAUGAAAGUCCAAAAUAUGUGUCCUCUCACGUAUUCAUUUCAAUAUUUUUUUUUGUGACAUAAAAAUUCCAAAUUUGUAUUUAUGUCACACAAAUACUCUGUUAAGAUACCGUUAAAUGAUUUUUCAACUAAAAUAACGUCUUUUUAUUUAUUUAAAUUACGUGGGCGCCAUGUCAGUGUUUUGGUGUCAUAGAAAAAUGUUUAUAAUAAAUAUAUUACAAUGGACAAAAUUUAAGAUUUUUUUUUUGUGACUUUUGCCCUUAUUAUUAUGAUGUAGAGGAAAUGUUGCAAUUUCUAAUAUAUUGCCUACUUUUGUGAUAUGUAUACUUAAUAUUUUGAAAAUAGAAUAUUUUCUCGUUAAAUGUAAUUAGAAAUGCACCAAAAGCACGUGUGCCUUGUAAUACUCGUUAGACAUAUUGAUUUUGGAAUGAAUUAGUUUCGACACAUUAUUUUAUAUAUCACUACAACGAUUAAUGCAUUGGAAACUACAUGAUUUGGAAAAUCAAUUAUUUAACAAGUGCUCCAUAAACCCUAAUAAACCAAAAUCCUUAUCAUUAUAUUGAUAGUGUGUAAAAUUAAGCUAGUUAGGUAGAUUAUUUCGAGAGAAAUGAAUGUUGAUUUGAGCUCCAACAAGCGCAUUUUCUUGCAAGCCACGCUUUAGGGUCUAUUUGGUACAUUUCUAUGUCAAGAAUCAAUUUUUUUUUUCAAAAAUAGUCUGUCUAUUUCUAUUCCCCAAAACAAUUUAUGAAUAAAAAAAUGCAUUUGGUAACUAUACAAAAUUAAUUUUCUUAAAAUAGAAAAGUAAUAAAAAUGCAUUUAAUGUGAUCAACAAUUUUUUUUAUUACAUAAAAUUUCUUUUAAUUUUUUAAUAAUUUUUUUUCUUUUUUUUUUCUUUUGUUAUUCUUCCUUGCUGCUGCCAAUCGUUGGCCACAAGCCACCGCGGCCGAGCCAAAGGUCAAUGGCAACCGACAGUGGCUGAACAACAGCAGAUAGUGGUGGGGUUCAAGGAGAAAGAAAAGAAAAAGUAACUUAUUUAUAAAAAUUGUUCAUGAGAGCAAUAAGUUACUUUUUUUUUUCUUUUUAUUUCUAUUCCAAAUCUAUUUUUCCGUCAAUUUUCUAUUCCGGAGAAUAAAAAAAUUAGUUGAUAUUAUCAUAUGGAUUUAUGUUCUUUUUUUUUGUUCCGAGGAACGAAAGAACAGAAAUUGGAAUAAAUAGAAAUGUUAUCAAACGAAGUCUACUCAGUCGGUAAUUUCAGAAAUCAGAUUACCUCAAAUGAUUCAUUCAGUUGAAUCACGUCCCUAUGGUAAUGUUUGGAUGACCUUUACCUUGUUUUAUUCGAUUUAACUCGAUCCGAUUGAGCACCACUUAGGAAGUCGGUUCGACGUCCGGCCGUAUUUUGGAGACAUUGGUUUCAAGGGUCUCUUGUCCUGAUAUUUGUCUAGUAGAUGAAUGAGGUGUGUGAUGAUAUUUUUACAGGCCGGAGCAAGUGCCGAUUUUCAGGUAUGAUCUCGGCCCAAGAGGCAUACAAGAUGAGCCGAACGUGUUGGAGUGGGUGAUAAAAUACCUUUGCGGAGAGUAUAGUUAUUUUGGUUGGACAAAUCAAGUCAUCAGUCAUCAAGUUGUCUAAUAUUUGACUAUAAAUGGAACUUAACCCUAAGGAUUAGUUUAGUCGGUUGAGAGUUUUGGAAGUUACGAUUCAAAAAUUAGAAAAUAUUUUCUUUAAAAUGAUCAAUUAUAUUAUUUUCACAAAUGAGUCAACAAAAUAUAUUUUCAUUAACAAUAAUGAUUUAUGUUCAAACAUUUUCGUGAAUGACGAAACCAAUACAGGAUGAUUCUAAAUUAUUGAGUUUUUGUAAGACAAACGCACCAGCAAUCCAACUUAGAAUCACUCUUCUUUUUUUUGUGCGUGUGUUUUUGGGGCUCGGAAUAUGGGAGUUGAUAUGUCAGGAAGCUAUCUCACUAGCUAUCCUUCCCAUCAGAUUCUUUAACGUACGAACACCAUGUUAAAUCUUUUUCUUCUUUUUUUCAAGACUUACAUUAAAUCACUUUCCAUGGAAUUAAAUCGUAAAAAUUAGAGCCCCUUUAAAAUAUCAUCACAUUACAUUUUAAUGUUGGGUUCACACGUUAAAAACCCAAUACACUUAUCAUGAAAGAUUGCUAAGAGAAAACUCAAAUCUAAACUCGUUAACUUAUUCAAUUUGAUCCAUUUACGCUCAAAACCUUUGGUCAAUGAAUUAUAACUGAGUUAGAUAUAUUAAAUACUCCAUAUUACAGCACAUCCUUGUAUGAGAUUUCAAUAGCUUAACAUUCUCGUGCAUGCAUGUAGACAAUUUCCCCCUUCACACAUGCGAGCCACCAAUGUUAGGCUCACUCCCUCUCAAUCCUAAUAUCCUUCUACACCAACAUUAUCUCAACUCGAGAAUAUUUAAUCUUUACCUUGGCUUGGUCAAAUUGCAUAUACUGGUGAGGACCAAUAGGUAUCUUUCAGAUUCCACCUUAAUUGUCUUCGCUCAACCAAGCUUGUCGAGAGUAGAGCGACACCAUUCAUCACCUCAAUUAAGGGGCCACAUUUGAGAUUUUCCUUCCUUGAGAUAUUCAUCGGGCACUCAUACAUAUUGGGAUCCGGCCACGAAUCAACAUUGACUCUAAUACCAUUUUCAGAUUGACACAACAGAAGCUGAGUACCUUCAUUUGAUGAGAUCACCAAGAGGAAGCACUAGUCAAAGCCCAUUAAAUUACCUAGUUGGACCCAAGUUUACUCAAAAACUUGAGUUAAUCAAUUAUGAAUCAGCUAAAAUGUAUCACUUGCACCACAUUUACUUUGUGGGAUUUCUCUCAGCUAACAUCCAUGCACAUGCACCUUAACAAAUACUAAAUGCAAUCCGAUUCCUCAUGUGUCGAAGGUACCCCUUGAAGCAUCAAAUACAACGAUAGGGUUUGCGUAGCUUGCUUGUUGUAGUAGAUUUUCUCUUGAUUACUACCUUACCGGCCCUUAGCAUUGAGGUGACAAGCUACCAAUGCCGUAAUUAUUUGUAAUGUUGAUUCAUUGGAAGGUAAAUAUUAAUGAGUCACGUUUUACUUAUUAUGUCUUUAAAAUGUACAAUUUUUCAAUGAAGUAACUGAAUAUAUUAAACUUCUCUUCUUUUACUGUAUUUAAAUAUGUACUUCUUUAAUUCUCAAAAUCUCUUAAAAAGCAUUCUUUCUAUUUUUAGUUAAUUUAAUGUAGGAAUUAGUUUUGACAGGAAAUGAAAAAGAAGAGAAUUGGAGGAAUUUCUUGUGCUCAUUUUGUAUUUUUUUUUUCAUUCUUUAUAUGUAUUAAUAAUAUAAAGUGUGGAUAGCAAAAGGAAACAAUGUAAAUAUACAUAAUUAAUAUGGAUCACUUAUUGAUUCAGUCAAUCAAUCUAAAUCUUAGAUUAAUUCAAUUAUCUCUUCACCACAUAAAUCAUAUCUCCAACACUCCCUCUCAAGUUGGUGGGUUGUAUAUGUCCAAAACACCUAGCUUGUUUAACAAAUGUGUGUUGUCUUUGACACAAGGGUUUAAGUAAAGAUAUCCGCGGGCUGUUUUGAGGUUCCAAUACCCUUUAUCCUAUUAUUCCUUCUUGGAUCUUAUCUCGAGAGAAAUGAUAGUCGACCUCUAUAUGUUUUGUUAUCUCAUGGACUAUAAGAUUAGCUGCAAGCUUUAGUGUUGCAUCAUUAUCACAAAAACAACAUAGUUGGCCUUUUAACUCGCACACCAAGGUCAAGAGGUAGACCUCGCAUCUAUACUAUCUCAUAAAUAGUCUUGGUCAUGGCUAGAUACUCAACUUUAGCCAAUGAUAAUGAUACGGUUGUUUGCUUCCUCCUCUUUUAUUUAUUUAUUUAUUUAUUUAUCAUAACAAAAGUAAGGAUGUUCUAAGCUUAAUGCAAAAAAUCUAGUAAUGGAGCUCCAGGUCAUAAGACAGGUGGCAUGGUCUAUGUCACAAUAAUCCGUCAUCUCCAUGUUACACGCUUGAGAAAGAAGUAUUCCAAAUCCUAGACAUUUCUUCAAAUCACAACUUUUAGAGCUACAUUCAUAUGUGAUUGUUUUUGGUUAUGCGUAAACCAACUCAGCAUUAGCACUCCUUAGCAUAUGUUUGGUAUUGUCAUGGUGAGAUAAUCUUUUCUACGAGCCUCUAAUAGCUUGAUGGAUCCUUGAGCAGUGGAUUAUCAGCAUUUGAUAGUGUUCCACAUAAAAAAAAAAUUGUGAUUAACUUGAUAUCUUGCUCGAUAGGAAUAGUAGGUAGCUUACAUUCUAACAAACUUGCUUUUGAUAUAAUUUCAAGGACAAAUUUCCCAUUAGCUAAGAGGAGAUUCCCAUGUUCAAUUGGGCAAUUUUAAUUCCAAGGAAAUAUAUGGGAGGUCCUAGAUCUUUAAUGUGAAAGGUAUAGUAGUGCAAAUAUUUCUUGAGAUUUUCAGCAACAGCUUCAUUAGAUCCCAUAAUAAGUAUGUCAUCAAUAUAUAUCAUUAGAUAGAUAGAUGACGAACCUUUUCUCCUUAUAAAUUGUGCAUAAUCAUGUCUCAACUGUCUAAAGCCAGUAACUAUAAGUGCAUUUGUAAAUUUUGUGUACCACUAAUGAGAAGCUUUCUUAAGGCCAUAAAGUGAUAUGCAGAGACAUCAUACCUUAGACUCCUCUUGUUUUCGUAAACCCGGUGGAAGAUCCAUGUAAAUUUCUUCGUCUAGAUCACCAUGGAGAAAGGCAUUGUAAAUAUCCAUUUGAUGUAGUGGCCAAUCCUGCAAGCAACAAUGCAUAGAAAGGAGCGAACUGUGACUUUUUUUGCUAUUGGAAAGAAUGUUUUAUGAUAAUCGAAACAUUCUUUUUAUGUGAAACCUUUGGGCACUAAACGCACCUUGUAUCGUUGGACUGAUCCAUUUGCCUUGUGUUUAAUUUUAGGGAUAAGUGCACUAGGAGUCCUAAAACUUAUUACAAAAGUGCAUUUGAGUUCUAAAACUUGCAAAAAGUGCAUUUACGUCCUAAAACUUGUCAAAAUGUUUCAAACGAAUCCUAAAAUCGAUGCCGUCUAAUUUCUUAAUGGAAAAAGCUAACGUGGCCCCCGCAUGGCUUUUUUUAAUCGUUUCUCUCUCCUUCGUUGCGAAUAGAUUAAAAAAAAAUGCCAUGCAUCCAAAACGACGUCUUGUUCUCCUUUCUUUUUCACCAUUGUGUUACCUUCCCUCCAUCUGUACGUCUUCUUCACCGUCGUCUUCCCUCUCCCCCCUCCGUCUCUACGAUUGCUUUCACUAUUCCGAGCGAACCCUAAGCCCCAAAUCGAAUUCGUCCAAAUUGCAAUUCUCUUGCAAUUUGGGUCCUCAUCGACCUCAAGUUCGACGCUCGUCGUGAGUUCGUGUUCUUUCCUUUGAUGAUCGCGAGUUCGUGCGAAGUCCUCUCCUGUGGGAGUCUCGACAUCUCAGCAGAGAAGCGAUUGGCAUCGGGGACGACGACAAGGUCCGCGACGGCGAUGGCAACUCCUCCUCACACAGGUAUCGUUCUUUGCAUUAUAGCAUUUUGGGUAUCUCGUGGUAAUGCUACGAUAUCUUUUGUUUUGCUACGAUUUCUUUUAUUUUGCAAAGGUGCUUUAAUCUCUGCAUUAUGCAAAACGAUGUCAGUUGGCGUCCUCAUUUCUUCAUUAUUUGGAGUUCAGAGAGCUCGAGUUUGACACACAUCGACUUUAUGUUAUCUUCUUUGACGAUUGCAAGUUUGUGCAAAGACGUGUCUUGCGGGCAUCUCGGCGUCUCAACAGCAGAGCAAGCGGCAUCAGGGAUGACAAUGGCCAUCUCAGCGACGGAGCAAGCAACAUCAGGGACGGCGAUGGUGACUCCUCACGCAGGUAUCACUCUUUACAUUACAGCAUUUGGGUAUGUCAUGGUAAUAUUACGAUUUUUGUUUUUGUUUUACGAGGGCGUUUUACUCUCUGCAUUAUGGUUUUUUUGCAUUUUCCAAUUGUUGCGAUAAAUUAGAACAUUGUUGCAAAUUAGAACAUCGCCUACCGAAAGGCUGACAAUAGGUCCCUCGCUCUCACUAUUGAUCAUGUAGUUGCAUUGUGAUUGUAAAGCACAUUAUGCUAAUUUGCUGUUUCUGUAUUGAUUAUUAGUCUUUUAACUUGAACAUUGCUUCAAUAAUUUGAUGAUGGAAAGUACUCUGCUCUUUUUUUUGUUCUCUUGUAUGUUUCUAUUCCAUUGUAGGUUCAAUUGCCGAGAAUAAAGUUUAUUUCACUGUUCGCUAUGGAGGUAAAUUUAAAGUCGGCCCACCAUUGGAAUACAUAGGUGGAAGAGCUAAUCUUGUUGAAAUAAGUUUAAGUAAGAGUUCACUGUCUAGUAUAAUUGAAGCUAUUGAGGCUUUGGGUGUGUGUAAAAUAGAGAAACUCUUUUAUAGAGUUUCUGGAAGUACGACUCUUGUAGACGGCAUAACACUUAGGUAUUUGUGGGAUAGCUCUGAUGUGAUGGAUCUAUUUUAUCAUCAUUUGUGCUCUGAAAAUAUUAUGCUAUAUGUUGAGCAUGUUGAUGAGAAAAAGAAAGGAGCUGAGAUGAGGGGUGUUGAGAUGGAAACUGGAGGUAUGUCUAAUGUGAUUAGGAAUAUUGAUGAUGACGAUGCCAAUAGGGAUCUAGAUGAGGAAGAGGAUGAUGAUGCACAUAAUUUGGUGGAUGUGGAACAGUCGAGUGACGAUGAUAAUUUUGAACUGGUUGAUGCAAGGAAAAAAUUAAAGGAAUUUUCAGCAAGACACAAGCUCAAAAUUGGCGAUUAUAGUGAGGCAACUGGUACUUCCCAACCAUUGAUUGUGGAUGAGGCUCAAUCAUUACAUGAUUCUGGGUACGAAACAGAGUAUGAUGAUUCAGAUGAGGAAGAUAGUCUUCAAUCAAUUUUAAAUGAUGAGGGUGACAAAGAGGUUGAUGUUAUCUCAAAGAGGAGAAGUAGAUUCCCAUCAUAUGAUCAAAGUGGUACAAAUCCAGUAAUUAUUGUUAGCAUGACAUUUGAGGAUGCAACUGAGUUCAAAAAUGCAAUUUUGAAGUAUUCUGUGGCUAAGCAAAGAGCAAUCAAAUACACUAAGAACACAAAAAGCUUUGUAAGAGCCAGGUGUGUCCAGGAAAAUUGUAAGAGGAUGAUCUAUGGUGCUAUUGAUAGCAAAACUAGAUCAUUUCAUUUGAGAAAUUAUAUAAAUCAGCAUAUAUGCAGUAUCACUUUCGAGAAUAAGAGAGUGUCUAGUAAUUAUUUAACUAAGCACUUCAUGAUUCUCAUUUUUGCAAUGCCUAAAAUCAAAGCACUAGAGUUAAAGAAAUUAGUCAAAGAACAACUGGGAGUAAAUGUCACUUUCAGUCAGUGUAGGAGAACAAAGUUGAAAGUAUUGAAGGAACUACAAGGUAAUUACAAGAAGGAAUAUGCACAGAUGUACGACUACUUGGGAAAGCUUUACACUGCAAGCCCUUCAAGCAAUUUUAAAUUGAAAGUUGAAAGGCCAUUGCUAAAUUCUCUACCAUUAUUUGAUAGGGUUUACAUUUGCUUUGAUGCUUGCAAGAAAGGUUUUUUGGCUAGAUGUAGGAAGAUCAUUGGAUUAGAUGGAUGUUUUUUGAAGGGUUUGAUCAAGGGCGAGUUGUUAUGUGCCGUAGGAAGGGAUGGCAACAAUCAAAUGUAUCCAGUGGCAUGGGCAGUGAUAAGAAUCGAGAAUAAGGACACAUGAACUUGGUUUAUCGAAUUGUUAAAGUCAGACCUCGAUAUGUGUAAUGGUGACGGAUGGGCUUUGAUAAGUGACCAACAAAAUGUAUGUUUUUCUUUUUGUUUUCAUUUGUAAAUUGAUUGUGACAUUACAAUGCUUUUCUUUCUGUUUUCAUAUAUAUUUUCUUUUUUUGGGUAAUUGUCAGGGUCUCGUCUAAUCUGUAGCUGAACUUUUGCUAAAUGCAGAGCAUAAUAUGUGUGCAAGGCACAUAUAUUCCAACUUGGGUAAAAAAUACAAAGGAAAACAGUUGAUGAGACAAUUUUGGAGAUGUGUCAAGAGUAAUAAUAUGUCAGAUUUCGAGGUGCAUAGAUAGAGGUUGAAGGAAAUGACUCAAGAAAGUCAUGAUGAUUUAUUCCGUAUUGAGCCAAAACAUUGGUGCAAAGCCUUAUUUGACACCAACAUUAAAUGUUAUGCCGUUGAUAAUAAUCUCAUUGAAGCUUUUAAUGGCAGGUGUGUGGAAGCUAGGUGCAAGGCCAUUGUGAGUAUGCUGGAGGAUAUUAGAAUCAUGGUUAUGAAUAGAAUGCAUACUCAGAGGGAUGGAUGUGCUAAGUGGACUGGAAAUUAUGGUCCAAGGAUUCUACAUAAGUUACAUGAGAAUACAACUGCUAGUAGGUAUUGUCAUUUGAUAUGGAAUGAAGACGAAGGAUAUGAGAUUACGGAAGAUGGUGACAAAUAUGUUGUUGAUUUGAAUUUAAAAACUUGUAGAGCUUGGGAACUUAGUGGAAUUCCAUGUUGCCAUACCAUUUGUGCAAUACACCAUAAGAGAAAUUACCCGAUUGACUAUCUAGCUGAGUGUUUCAAUAAUGCAAAGUAUCUAAGUGCUUAUCAAUUCAUGAUGUCUACAGUGAGAGGACAGAAAUUUUGGAAUAAAACCAAUAAAGAAGCUCCUCAACCCUCACCAAUGAAGAACAUGCCUGGUAGGCCAAAAAGGAGUAGAAAAAAGCAACCAAUUGAGCUUGUAAAAGGUGAUAGAAUGACUAAAAAUGGUAAGCUAAUGACUUGUUCUACUUGCAAUGUGGUUAGACAUAACUGCAAGGGAUGUCCUUUAAAAAAUGUAUUUUCUCAACUAACUGAUCAUCUAAAUGUUGGGCAUGUCACUUUAACAUGUUGUUAAUCAAUGCUUAAUAUGUGCUUCUCAGGCCAAUACUUGGGCCAAUGUAUGUACAUUCAAUGCUCGGGCCAAUGUAUGUACAUCCAAUGCUCGUGCCAGUGCAAGUACAGCUGAAGUUCAUGCUCAAUCUCAAGCUAAUUCCACUAGAACAAGGCUCGGAAAAAGACAAGUAAGUUGUCAUCUAACAAUUAUUAUAACUUUUAUAUGUCAAGGUUUCAAUUCAGUAAUUAUGAAUAUAUAUUCAGGCUAAAGCUAAAGCAAUGACAAGCAUAACUGGAGGAGGAUUCGAAAGCCAUGCCAAUGCUUCUGCAAAUGCCAAUUCAAUAGGAGACAAUAGUGGGCAUGUUAAUGCUUCUACUCAGGCUAGUGCAGAUGUAAGAGGGUGUAGUGCUCGUGCAAAUGUAAGAGAAUGUACUGCCACUGCUUCUGCUCAGGCUAGUGCUGAUGUUAGAGGAUGUACUGAUGUGGCCAAUACUGUUGGUAAAGUUCGUCCUGAUCAAGGGGAAGGCGUUUAUUGUACACCGGCCAAUAUAAUGGCUAAGCAUAGACCUGAAAAAAAUUUCAGUGAGUAAUAUCUCAAUCCCCAAGCAUACAUGUAUUGUGACUACAUUCUCAUGUUCAAUGAAUUUUUUAUUAUUUUAGAUUAAAAGACUUGCCAUUGAAAAUAACAUGAUACAAAGAGAAUCACAGGCCAAGAGGAUGAAAAUGGUAGGGUUGGGUGUUGACGCAAAUCCUAUGACAAACCUUCAUAUUCUUAAGGUGAGUAAUAUUUCUAAAAUUUUCUAAUAGCAAUUACUUAUCUCCUUAAGCUAAAAACAUGCUCAUUCUUAUGUAGCCUAAUACAACUGGUGCAAGAAUCUUUAACCUACCAGACAAAGGGGUAGUUUCAAGAGCUACAUCAACAAUAAAGGUGCAUUCCCAGGUCAGUGCACAACCUCAGUCAUAUCAUGUAUCAGCAACUUCUUGAAAACAAAUUGCGGUGACGCCGAAGCCACCAUUACAACCCAAGGCCAGUUCCCAACCUCAAUCAUCUCAUGCAACAGUAGCUCCUUCAAAGCAUGUUGCAAUGAAGCCAAAGACACUAUCGCAACCUGAGGCUAGUUCCCAAGCUCAGUCAUCUCAAGCUACAAGAGCUCAGAAGCAUCUUAAUUUAAAAUGAAAGGCACCAUCACAACCAAAGGCAAGUUCCCAACCUCAAUAAUCUCAUGCAACAUUAGCUCCUCGAAAGCAUGUUGCGAUAAAGCCAAAGCCACUAUUGCAACUUGAGGCCAGUUCCCAAGCUAAGUCAUCUUAGGCUACAAUAGCUCAGAGGCAUCUUGGUUUAAAGUGAAAGACACCAUCACAACCCCAGGCAGCUCCUCAAAGACACAUUGCGGUGAAGCUGAAGCCACUAUUGCAAGCUCAAUCAUCCCGGGCUCAGUCAUCUCAAGCUACGACAACUCCUCCAAAGCCUAUCGCUUUAAGACCAUAUAUAAGGAAAAGUGCUAGAAUUAUGAAUCAAGUGAAGGCUGGACCUACUGGAUCACUGGAGACCAUCAUAUUGGAUUGAUAUGUUUGCUGAAAUUGGUGUUGUUAGGUGAAUUUAUGCCAAUCAUUAGCUGGUUUUCUAUAUGAGACAUGUAGCAUUUGUGCAUAAGACCUUUUGUGUACUGAAAGUGCAUAUUUUGUUGAAAAGAACCUUUUGUGCAUUGAAAGUGCAAGCAUUUUGUUGAACAAAGCCUUUUGUGCAUUGGAAAUGUAAGUAGCAUGUUGCUUUGUCAAUGAAUCGUGUUUCAACAAGUUAUGUGGGAUGCUUGGUUUUGGUUUGGAUAAUGCACGAAAGUGGUUGCUCUUCAGGAUUGUUAAUAGAUGAUUACUGAAAUUGUCCAUGAAGAAUUUUCAUUCUUCCAAUACUUUUGUCAUCUUCUUUCCCAUUUAUUGUUAAUAGGAUUGUUAAUAGGUUCCAAAUUCAUUCUGAUAGCAAUAACUCAUAUAGUGCUAUUGACAAGCACACAAAUCAAGCAACAUUUUUCAAUGCGAAAGUAAUUUCUCACAUGGCAAGCAACCGGUCUUGCAAACUACAAACUCACAUCAGAUUUCAUUCAUAUCUCAAUUAUCCACAACUAGUGUUCAAACUUACAAACUUAGAAAUAAGGUACUAUGGAAGACUUAGAAAAUUCUCACCGACUUUCACAUUACAUAUAACCAAUACAACAAUAUAACACAUGCAUAUAAUGAAUGCCAAUUGAUAUAGCAUCUUUCCUUUCUUUAUUCGUGCGAGCUCUUCCUUUAAACGUCUAUUUUUCGCCUUUUGAGUCUUCAUUUCAGCUAGCAAUGAGCUCACAUCGACUUCGUCACGCCUCGAUUGGCUUGAUUCACACAAUGCUUGAUUUCUUUCAAGUAGGUUAACUAUCAUGUCCCUCACAUGAUCUGGUAUCUUUGGAUCAAGCUACAUGAAGAAAUCGCAGCAACUUGGACUAUUAAUCUUAGCACAUCCAUGGAACCUUCUUCCUGCGUUUUUCCUUGUCUUUGCCAUAAGAAUUGGCGAUUGAAGACCACAAUAACAUGCUGGCUCCGAGUUGACCUCAUUACGAGUUACGCCACUUGAUUCAAAUGUUGGCGCCCUCAUUCUUCUAGGCUUCGUAUUAUAGGAACAUAAUAGAAGUAUAUUAGAAUGGAAAAUAACAAAAUGCUAUAAUGCAGAGAGCAAUACCUACUUGAGGAGGAGUCUCCAUUGCCGUCGCUGACCCUGUCGUCGUCCCCGACACCAAUCUCUUCGCUGCUGAGAUGUCAAGACUCCCACAAGAGAGGACUUCGCACGAACUCGCAAUCGUCAAAGGAAAGAACACGAACUCACGACGAGCGUCAAACUCAAGGUCGAUGAGGACCCAAAUCGCAAAAGAACUACAGUUCGGACGAAUUCGAUUUUGGGCUUAGGGUUCGGACGAAUUCGAUUUGGGGCUUAAGGUUCGGAUGAAUUCGAUUUGGGGCUUAAAGUUCGCUCGGAAUAUCGAAAGCAAUCGUAGAGAUGGAGGGGGGAGAGGGAAGACGACAGUGAAGAAGACAUACAGACGAAGGGGAGGUAACACGAUGGUGAAAAAGAAAGGAGAACACGACGUCGUUUUGGAUGCGUGGCAUUUUUUUUUUUAAAAGCCACGUGGGGGCCACGUCAGCUUUUUUCAUCGAUAAAUUAGACGGCAUCGAUUUUAGGACUCGUUUGAAACAUUUUGACAAGUUUUAUGACUUAAAUGCACUUUUGCAAGUUUUAGGAUUCAAAUGCACUUUCGUGACAAGUUUUAGAAUUCUUGGUGCACUUAUCCCUUAAUUUUAUACACCCAUUUACAACCAAUUGGAUUCUAAUGAGCAAGAAAGGACACAAUAUACCAAGUCUGAUUUUCAUUAAGGCACCUGAUUGGAGAUGUGCUCCCGACUUCUUAUCACCCCCAAUCGAGGAUGGAGGAGGCAUGACAUAUGAGUAGACCAACCCUCAAUUGGCUUAGGUUUUGCUUUGCCUAUUUACUUUUCGUGUAGUAUAUUUAAUCGAUGCUUCUUCACAUUGAAUCAAAGGAAAAAAUUUCGAACCUUUGUCUCGACUAACUAAAUUUCAAAUAAAGCUCCAAACCCACCAACUAGACAUUUCUUCACCAACCAGCUUGCACUCGUAGCUCGCGUUCGAAAAUAAUUUAAUAGGAUAAGAUGAAUUUGUUUUCGAGCAUUUUGAAGGGGGGUUGGAAGGGAGAGACUUGGAAUACCGACGAUAUCCUCGACGACAAAUCCACCAUGCCAGCAGAUGGAGAUGUGCGCCAAGCUUCUUAUCACCCCCGACCAAGGGCGGAGGAGGCACGACGUUCGAGGAGACCAACACUUGAUUGGCAUAGGUUUUGCUUUGCCUUGCCUAUUUACUAUGGAUUCUAUUUCCUUCUUCAAUUUACUUUUCAAUCGAAGCUUCUUCAAAUUGGGUCAAAGGAUCGAACGAAAUCAUCACUACUUUAGUCACCGGAAUAAGCAUUAUUUGUUGUUUUGCCAAUUUACUUUUUGUGCACCCAGGCCGCCCAUGCAAAUCGACCAUUUGAUUGGCCGUUGAGCUCAGGAACUCAAAUUAGAUUAACUAAUAAAUUUUAAAUCUCUUAUUUAAGACAAAAUUCACUCAAAAUCCUCUUUCGAGGAAAAAAAAUCCCUUUUUCUGUUUUAAUUUGGAAUGUUCCUUAAAAGAGAUGGAAAAACCAAAACGGCACGGAACGAUCCCUCCUCCAGUCAAAUCCGCUAUCGCCCCCGGGCGCUCCGCUCCCCCCUCACCGGCAAAUGGCAGCCCCCGACGAGCCGCCGCGGCCGCGGCGGCCGCCGCCCGACUGGCUGGAGCUCCCACGGGAGAUCACGACGACGAUCUUCCUCAAGCUCGGCGCCGUCGAGAUCCUCAAGACAGCGGAGCUGGUGUGCACCGCCUGGCGCGCCCUCUGCCUGGACCCCACCAUGUGGCAGACCAUCGACAUGCGCAACGACGGGGAACCGCCGUACGACGACCUCGCCGACAUGUACCGCCGCGCCGUCGACCGGAGCCGCGGCGGUUGCCUCGACCUCAACAUCGAGUACUUCGGCGACGACGAGCUCCUCCAGUACGCCGCCGACGGGUAACUCGCCGAUUCCCUCUUGAAUGAAUUUCGCGCGGUUUUGUUCCUCGGUCUGGUUUUGGUGGGCCUCGGAAUGAUCGCUGAUGGUCGAGCGCGACGCGUGGUCCGGUUCUUUUGUGCGUACGCCGUUGUUGGAGAGAAUUGAGAUGAUGGUUACUCGCCGAGGAUGAGCUUGUUUCGGCGAUUGGCUGAUCGGCGCGAUUGCGGCGGUUCGCAAGUGCGUGGGUAUACCGUUGAUUUCUCUGGGCUGAAGUUGUGCAGGAAUCGCGAAAUUGUUUAGGAAUGAAUCGUAUUGAGCACGAGUUUACUUCUCUUAUUCACCAUGGCCUCAUCACGAGGCGGAGGUAGAAAUGUGAGGCUUUGAGGAGUCCUCUGGAAGUGAACAUUCUGCACACUUGAAAAGUCCCUUUUUUUCCCUUGUCCUCAAGAAUUGAAAUUGAAAAAAAGAGAAGAUGGACACGCCAGAUGAUGAGAACAGAUUGUAUUUGGAAAACUUCGAUCAGCUACAUGUUCUGGAAACUAACUGAUGAAAAAAUCAUGUGUGGAAAUUGAGUUCUGAUCCUGAAAUAGCUCCCGAGAAUGAGGGUAGAGAUUUUUUACGUGAAAGGAUGCCACCUUUGUUACUUUUCUCUCUCCUUAGGAGUUCUCAAAUGGCUUCUUUACUCUGUCUCUAUGUUCCGUAUGUUCAGCCUCAGUAUCUUUCAUUUUUAGCCAUCAUUUGAACAUUAGGAUGAGGCAAAAGUUCAACCCAAUUGAAACCAUGAAGGAGCAUUGAACUGAGGUUGUGAAAAGACUGAUACAAUGCCGUCUGGUGAGUAUCGGGCAUUACUAAAUGAAAUGAGGAACAUGAACUGUGACAGAGCUUCCAUAAGUGCUUGAUAUGGCAGAAGCACUUCUAUUUUACUUCACUCUAGGAUCUUCUUUCCCCUAUGUGCUUGUUUUCCUUUUGAUCAGUUUAUGCGACGCAUUUACUCUCCUGUUUGCUAAUAGUUAUGGGGAGAUAUUGGUUAAAGUUUGGUGCGGUAGAAGGUAUAUAACUCAACAAAAUAGGGUAUAGCCAUGUAGCUCCAUCACCUUCUCAGCCUUGGACAAGUGUAGCUUUAACCCAUGUUUGCCAAAACACUUGAGUAUGCCUCAGGUUCCAGUGAUAUCAAUCUUAAACUGUUUUUUCCCCUUAUUUUGUUCAGCAAAGAAAAUAUUCUAGUUUAAUUCACCGCUGGAUUUGUCUUCUAUUUCCUGGUCGAGACUCCGCGCUCAGUCUUCAUCAUUGCGUUUUCAUUGAACUUGCAGAGACAGGUUAGAUACAUUUGAUGGCAUUUUUGCAGGUCUUGGAUAGGUACAUAAUUGUCUUGAUCUGACCAGUGGAUGGCACUGUCAGUGUUUUGAUUCCACAGUAUACAACUGAAGUUACUGCUUGAGUUAUGGCAUGGAAGUUUUACGUUUUGGAGUCUUUUCGGUUCUUAAAAUGAGUUUCAGAGUCUAAUAGUGUUAUGUUUGCUUUUGUUGAUAAAAUUCCUAUGAUGAAGGGUUUUAUGAGGAGACUUUGUUAAUGGGUGCCUCUGGUAUAGUUGUUAACCACACAUAAUAAGGAAAUGUAAUUACUCUAAUUAUAUAUAACAUGAGAAAUAUGGUGCAUAAAAAUCGACAAACUCUUUUUAUCGAGGUGUUAAAAAAGUUCCCAUGGACACAUAUUGAAAAAAAUAAAAAAUAAAUCGAUCAGAUUAGCUCUCUUUGUUGACUUAAGUUUCUCUCUUUGAUGGUGUUUUUCUUCCUUUUACUGAGCAUGAAGUCCAGAACAGAGCUUUUGGAUUGUUUUUGAUUUUUGACUGCUGGAUAUAUUAUGUUUGUUAAGGAAAUUUUAUUAUAGUUUGAGGCUGGAAUAGAACAUAAUUUCCAUUGAUUUGAUUUAGGUUUUGAAUUUGAUCUUACUUUUCUUGACGUCUUGAUUCAUUAACUUUAUAUUUGUUUUCAAAAACUUUCUAUACAUAUUUUGUGUAUUCUGUGUCUUAUUAAUAUUUCGGAUAAAUAUGGCAGUCUUGCUUAUUAAAAGGCUAUUCUGAUAGGUCAAAAGUGGACCAAGCAUCACAUCUCUCAAUUGCAUAGAUCUCUGUUUAGUUUACAUUCUUGUGAUGCCAUGGGUAUGCAAAGGCGGACUUCAUUAACAAAUGUGGCAUAGUUGACCUUUUUUAACAUGACUUGAAAGAAUUCCAAUCAAGGCCGCAACAGUAGAGAAUUCUUGAUCUAGGGUUCUGGCUGAUUUUAUCAUAUUUCCGUAUUUUUUGACAUGUCUCGUUAACGAGUGCCCUUAGGGCAUUUAUUAAACAUGCAUAAGGAAAGUUCCAUUGUCUGCAACACUAGUUACGCACUUCACUAGAACAAUUGUGGAUUAUAACUUGUGGUGUUCCUUAAUUAGCCACUAAGAAGUGCCCAAGGGAUAUGAUUAACAAAUUAAUGUUGUUGAAAUACAAUUACUUUUUGGCCGAUGAAAAUAAUCUCUCUACACACCCCUUGCUCUAGAUCAAUAAGCUCUCAGUUCCUUAUCUUAGUGGUUAACAUUAUUAUUGCUAGCUACAACAAGUCUGCUUUUCGGUUGAACCAUCGUUGUUCUCAUGCAUUUCUUAUUCCAUUGCAGGUGCAAUCAUAUUAGACGGCUACGACUUGUAUAUUGCGGUAACAUUUCGGAUGAGGGUCUGUGUGAAGCAGCCUCAAAACUUCCUAUGCUGGAGGUCCUUGAAUUAUCUUAUUGCUCAUUCUCAAAGGAAGCCAUAGAGACUGUUGGACAAUGUUGUCCCCUUCUGAAAUCCUUCAAAUUGAAUAGCCAGGGAUAUAGAUAUCCACACAUAGAAUGUGAUGACGAGGCACAAGCUAUAGCGAAAAACAUGCAUGGAUUACACCACCUCCAACUCUUCGGGAAUAAGAUGACAAAUGAAGGUCUGAAGACGAUUCUCGACAGUUGUCCUCAUCUUGAGUAUCUCGACUUGCGCCAGUGCUUCAAUAUUUAUAUGGAGGGUGAUUUGGGGAGAAGAUGCACCGAACAGAUCAA